rnacentral:rRNA from 1 species
UACGAAGGGAGUGAGCGUUAUUCAUAUUGAUUGGGCGUAAAGGGCUCGUAGAUGGAUAACUUAAUCUUUGGUGAAAUCUCAAAUUUUUUUGAAAGUGCCUUAGAUAUUGGUUGACUAGAGUGAAUUAAAGGAUAAUAGAAUUUUGUAAGAAGGAGUAAAAUCUGUUGAUAUACAAAGGAAUGCCAGUGGCGAAAGCGAUUAUCUAGAAUAUCACUGACAUUGAGGAGCGAAGGCGUAGGGAGCAAACAGG